GCGGAGGACGUUCAGUGGUAGAACCCUUGCCUUGCAUGCAGGAGACCUGGGUUCAAUUCCCGGCCGACACA
rnacentral:tRNA from 1 species